CACGACACCCGUGUUCCGGGCGCGUUGGCCCGCUGGGAUCCUCAGUAGCGGACGUUUAGAACCUGCGUCCUGGACUCAGCCACUCGGACAGAUUGGAGACCUCUUGCAGCCACAAGUCCUGCAGGAGCAGAGGACACAGUGAUUUCUGAGUGUGAGGUCAGCCUGGUCUACAGAGCAGGUUCCAGGACAGCCAUGGCUACACAGAGAAACCCUGUCAUGAAAGACAACAAAAAAGCUGCCUGAAAUUCACGAGACAGAGAAGGCUGAAUUCACCACUGGAACCAGAGGAGGAGCUGCAGAGCCUGAGGAAGACAAGAUACAACCUUCUCUGCUGUAUUUAUGGAUUUGUCUCUACAGGUGCUCGGUAUGUGGCUCCCAUAUGUCUUCCCACCUAAGCAAGAUCUUCAACCAAGGUUUUUGUCUGCAGCAGAUAUCCCAGAAAUCCCUCUGUCUCCUGUUUGGGUUGUAAAAGAUUCUCUUCCCUAAGAUGAGCGAGAAAGAAGUGAUUCUCACUGAUGCCGUGGGAUUCCUCAAUGAGACUAAGGAAGAGGUAGGAAGUCUUCCUCAGGCCUUCUAGAGAAAAGAGCCAGGGAAUGCAGUCUGUAUCUUGGGCAUAUGGAUCAGCCUUUGCUGCUUCAGUGCUGGACUGUGGAGUGUCAGAGUCAAAGAACACGAGGAAUCGCCUGAAACCAUGCAAAGAUUUACUUUAUGUGUGUGCUUAUAUGUUUGUAAGCCAUGUGUGCGCAGGAUCCUGCAGAGGCUAGAAGAGGCGUUGUGAGCCACCUGAUGUGGGUACUUAGAACUAAACUUGGGUCCUCUGGAAAGACAGCAGGUUCUCUUAUAACAGCUGAGCCAUUUCUCUGGCCCCCAACACAUUAAUUUCAUACACAAGAAACUGAAAUUCAAAAAGAAGUGACCCAUUCAAGAUCAGGUAGGACAAAAGCCAGGGCCGCUUCUUUUUACCCCAUCAACAACAUGCCCAGAGAUGAAGUCAUGACUUAAAGGCACUUGCUCAUAAAGACAUCAUUCUUUGUGCCAAUAGUUCAAAGCACUUUAUUCUAUGAAAUAAUUUUUGAUAAAACAAGAUAUCACAGAUGUUAACUGAGACACUAUACACAGCAAUAAAACUUAUCAACUUAGAAGACUGGGUGAUUAGAUUAAGUAACAAAGUACACUAUUUAUUGACUAAAGCAAAUUCUAACCCUGUUGAAAUUGAUGAAAUGCCAUUAUAUAUAUAAAAAUAUAGUUCCUUGGUUUUUACUAUAUGAGAUGUACAAAAAUUAAAAUUAUAGUGAUAGAAAUUAGUACUAAAGUUUGUCUAUGUGUUAUAUUAUCUUCUAAGAAAAAAGGAGCACAUAAAAAUAAAGAAACAGCCAGACCUGGGAAGCAGAGGUGGGUGGAGUUCCGUGAGUUCAGUACCAGCCUCAUCUACACAGCAUUCCCAAGCAGCCAAAGACUGUCUAGAGGGGAAGCAGCAGCAACAGCUAGGGAAUCUGAUCUGCUGGCAAUCCCAGUUCCUCACCCUAUGACCCCAGGGGAAGAAAGGUGACUAACACUGAGAGUCCAUUUUGCAUAAAGUAUUUUCAGUCUCAGUUUCUUCAGGCACUACUAUGAACUUUCACAGACUGAGGCUUAUGAGUGCUCACAUUUCUUCCUCACAGUUUUGGUUAUCUGAGAUCAGGGUGUGCAGCAAUGAUGGCUAAUGUUAAUUGUCACCCUGACCACGUUUAGAAUCACCUGGACGGAAGGCCUCUGGACAGGCCAAUGAUUGCUCUGAUUAUGUUAACUGAUGUGGGAAGACCCUCUUAAUUGUAGGCGGAACUGUUGGUUCGCAGGCGGAUCAUGAGCUGAUCUGAGUACUGGCAUGCACACACACAUUCAUGGUUCUGUGUCAAAACACCAUGGCUAAAGCAACUUGGGGAAGAAAUAGUCUAUUUUAUCUUGGUAGGAACUCAAGGCAGAAACUGAAGCAGAAGCCAUGGAGGAACACUUGCUUUCCACGGCUUGCUUAGCCCACUUUCUUCUGUACCCCAGGAUCACCGUCCAAGGAUAGCACCAUUCUUGCCACAGCAAUCAUUAGUCAAGAAAAUGCCCCUCAAGCUUGCCUAGGAGCUGGUCAUUUUCUCAUUUGAGGUUCCCUCCUCUCUGAUGACUCUGCCUUCUGUUAAGUUGACUAAACACUAGCCGGCACACCGCUAUCCUACCAAACACUAGCCAGCACAUUGCUAUUCUCACGACAGAUGAGACUUUGGUUAAGUCUUUGUUGUAGUUUUGGCAUGUGGCGCUGUCUAUGUGCUGAGUGUUACAGCCUGAAUGGUACUUCCACCAUGGAGUCAGUUGUGCUAAGGUCAAGGGGCCCUGUUAUAAUCCCAGUCAUGUGACCCCUCUCAGAGAACAAAACCGCCAGCUGAAGAGCACAGCCUCAAGAGCUUUGAUCCCAGUACUUGGGAGGAAGAAUCAGGAGGAUCUCUGUGAUUUCAAGGCCAUUCUGGUCUACAUAGUAAGUUCCAAGACACCAGGACUUUUUACAUAGAAAAACCCUGUUUCGAAAAGAAAACCAUUUGCUUUGUGUGUGUGCAUGCGUGCAUGUACCAAGUGCACGCAUGUACAUAUACAACCACAGAGUGCACAUGUGGAGGUCAGACGACAACUUCCAAGUGUAUAAUUGUUCUUAUAAAAAAAAACCUGGGGUCAAAUAUUAGAGGGUGAAAGCUGAGAGAUCAGAGAAGCAGAGCAGUCAGCCACUAAGGAGACCUUUUAUCUCUACUGAAUCCUCAGACCAAAAGGGUGAACCUGUCCUCAGACUGUGUCCUCUGACUGCUUCAGACUGAGUCUCCAGACUGUACUGCUCUUGUCUCUUCCUGCCUUAUAUUCCUCUCUCCACCCAGCCUUCCUGCCUCCACCUCCCUAGUGCUGGGAAUAAAGGCAUGGGACUCCCAAGUACUGGGAUUAAAGGUGUGUACCACCACUGCCUGGCCUCUAGUGGUUUAGCUCUGCACUCUGAUCUUUAGGCAAGCUUCUUUGUUAACACACAAACAAAAUAAUGUAGUGACAUCCAAGAGUGAUUUUUCUUCAACUAUGUGGGCUCCAGGGAUCAAACUCAGUUGUGAUCAAGUUUGAAAGCAAUGGAUGAGUGUACCCCUUCCUCCACAGCCUCUCCAGCAAAGGCUAUCAUCGGUGCUUUUGAUUUUAGCCAUUCUGACAGGUGUAAGAUGAUAUCUCAAAGUUGUUUUGAUUUGCAUUUCCCUGAUUGCUAAUGAGGUUGAGCAUGACCUUAGGUGUCUUUUGGCCAUUUGAACUUCUUCUUUUGAGAAUUCUCUGUUCAGUUCAGUGCCCC